rnacentral:rRNA from 1 species
GACGAACGCUGUCGGCGUGCUUAACACAUGCAAGUCGAACGGAAAGGCCCUGCUUUUGUGGGGUGCUCGAGUGGCGAACGGGUGAGUAACACGUGAGUAACCUGCCCUUGACUUUGGGAUAACUUCAGGAAACUGGGGCUAAUACCGGAUAGGAGCUCCUGCUGCAUGGUGGGGGUUGGAAAGUUUCGGCGGUUGGGGAUGGACUCGCGGCUUAUCAGCUUGUUGGUGGGGUAGUGGCUUACCAAGGCUUUGACGGGUAGCCGGCCUGAGAGGGUGACCGGCCACAUUGGGACUGAGAUACGGCCCAGACUCCUACGGGAGGCAGCAGUGGGGAAUAUUGCACAAUGGGCGGAAGCCUGAUGCAGCAACGCCGCGUGCGGGAUGACGGCCUUCGGGUUGUAAACCGCUUUCGCCUGUGACGAAGCGUGAGUGACGGUAAUGGGUAAAGAAGCACCGGCUAACUACGUGCCAGCAGCCGCGGUGAUACGUAGGGUGCGAGCGUUGUCCGGAUUUAUUGGGCGUAAAGGGCUCGUAGGUGGUUGAUCGCGUCGGAAGUGUAAUCUUGGGGCUUAACCCUGAGCGUGCUUUCGAUACGGGUUGACUUGAGGAAGGUAGGGGAGAAUGGAAUUCCUGGUGGAGCGGUGGAAUGCGCAGAUAUCAGGAGGAACACCAGUGGCGAAGGCGGUUCUCUGGGCCUUUCCUGACGCUGAGGAGCGAAAGCGUGGGGAGCGAACAGGCUUAGAUACCCUGGUAGUCCACGCUGUAAACGGUGGGUACUAGGUGUGGGGUCCAUUCCACGGGUUCCGUGCCGUAGCUAACGCUUUAAGUACCCCGCCUGGGGAGUACGGCCGCAAGGCUAAAACUCAAAGGAAUUGACGGGGCCCCGCACAAGCGGCGGAGCAUGCGGAUUAAUUCGAUGCAACGCGUAGAACCUUACCUGGGUUUGACAUGGAUCGGGAGUGCUCAGAGAUGGGUGUGCCUCUUUUGGGGUCGGUUCACAGGUGGUGCAUGCCUGUCGUCAGCUCGUGUCGUGAGAUGUUGGGUUAAGUCCCGCAACGAGCGCAACCCUUGUUCACUGUUGCCAGCACGUUAUGGUGGGGACUCAGUGGAGACCGCCGGGGUCAACUCGGAGGAAGGUGGGGAUGACGUCGAGUCCUCAUGCCCCUUAUGUCCAGGGCUUCACGCAUGCUACAAUGGCUGGUACAGAGAGUGGCGAGCCUGUGAGGGUGAGCGAAUCUCGGAAAGCCGGUCUCAGUUCGGAUUGGGGUCUGCAACUCGACCUCAUGAAGUCGGAGUCGCUAGUAAUCGCAGAUCAGCAACGCUGCGGUGAAUACGUUCCCGGGGCU